GCAGUCCAGUAAAACUAGUUUUGAAGAUUUUUGACAGAAUUGAUAUGGAGAGUCAGUAACCAGAGGAAACAGACUGAAGGGUGACUAGGGAGGGAACCUGAGCUUUCUGCAGCAAUGAAUUCUACAGAAUGACCAUCCUCUGGCUGAAGAAAUUCCUCCUCAUCCAGAGAUGCUAUGUUUCUCCAGCACUUCCUGUUUAUCGCAAAGAACCAUCUAUUCACUGCGACCUCAAGGAUUCUACAAAUCUUACUUAUGCUCAGGGUACAAGACAUCAACUAAACAUCCAUGGUCUCAGCUUCAACUGUAACAAUUCAAGCCUGUUAAAAACUUGUUAACUUGCGUAUUCUUUGUCUUCCUAUUAUACUGCGCAGCCUCCCCUUCUUAAACUACACAUCCAUGUUGGUAUCGGUAUUGGAUUUUAUUAUUUCUUUCAGGAUUUGAAGUUAAUAAAAGGCGUCUUCUCUGUAUUCAAGAAAACUAUUUAUUGGUUCCUUAAUUUGACUUGUAUUGCAUUUUAAUUGAAGUGCAAUAUUGCUGCAAGCUAGCAAGAUUUCGACAUCUUUGUUGCAAUCAAU